rnacentral:lncRNA from 1 species
AUGCAUCACUCCCUCCAAUGUCCUGGGGCAGCCACCAGGCAUAUUCAUCUUUGUGUGUGUUUUUCUUUUGCUUUAGCACUGGGGCACUUCUUGCUUAUUUCUUUGGUAGGAAAGGGGCUCAGUUUGUCUUGUGGGGUUGGUGGCAGGCAGGCCGGCUUACGCCUGAUACGGCCCUGGGUUAGAAGGGAAGGGAAGAUAAACUUUUAUACAAAUGGGGAUAGCUGGGGUCUGAGACCUGCUUCCUCAGUAAAAUUCCUGGGAUCUGCCUAUACCUUCUUUUCUCUAACCUGGCAUACCCUGCUUAAAGCCUCUCAGGGCUUCUCUCUGUUCUUAGGAUCAAAGUAUUUAGAGCUACAAGAGCCCUCAUGGUCUGGCCCCUGCCCCCCGGCCAGCUUCAUUGUACAUGUGGUGUUCUCUUGUCGUUCCUGUAA